rnacentral:rRNA from 1 species
UGGAGGAAAAGAAACCAACCGGGAUGCCUAAUAACGGCGAAGUGAAGCGGCAAAAGCUCAAAUCCGAAAUCUGGCACCUUCGGUGUCCGAGUUUGUAAUUCUGAAGAAGCUACUUCUGGGGCUAGUCCUUCGUCUAUGUUCCUUGGAACAGGACGUCAUGGAGGGUGAGAAUCCCGUAUGGCGAGGAGUCUAGUCCUAUGUAAAGUGCUUUCGACGAGUCGAGUUGUUUGGGAAUGCAGCUCUAAGUGGGUGGUAAAUUCCAUCUAAAGCUAAAUAUUGGCGAGAGACCGAUAGCGAACAAGUACAGUGAUGGAAAGAUGAAAAGAACUUUGAAAAGAGAGUGAAAAAGUACGUGAAAUUGUUGAAAGGGAAGGGCAUUUGAUCAGACAUGGUGUUUUGCGACCCUCGCUCCUUGUGGGUGGGGAUCUCGCAGCUCACUGGGCCAACAUCAGUUUUGGCGGUAGGAUAAAUCUUUGGGAACGUGGCUUGUCUUCGGAGAAGCGUUAUAGCCCAGGGGAAUACUGCCAGCCGGGACUGAGGACUGCGACUUUUGUCAAGGAUGUUGGCAUAAUGGUUAAAUGCCGCCCGUCUA